AUAUUUUAGAUAUGAGACCCUUGUCUGUUGUAUGACUGGUCAAAGGGGAUGACCAUCCCCGAUAGAGGAGUACCAGUCUUUGGUCAAGGGUUUACGAAUAGCUGCGCUCCUCUGCUAGAACCUCCAAACAAGCUCUCAAGUUGACUUUUUUUUUAAAUAAAAGUGACAUUAUAUAGUAAGUUAUAUAGUAAGUUUCAGAAGUGCAGUUUAUUGUAUGUAAUGUCUCU
rnacentral:snRNA from 1 species